rnacentral:tRNA from 1 species
UCUCUCUAGCUUAUAUUUUAGAGUGUCAGUUUGAAGAGCUGAAGGUACUGUGUGUGGGAGGAAG